rnacentral:tRNA from 2 species
GGGGGUGUAGCAUAGUGGUGGUGCAUCCGGCUGAUAACCGGAAGGUCCCAGGUCCGAUCCCUGGCACCCCCA